GUGGUUAGAGGCAGGUAGCCUAGUGGUUAGAGGCAGGUAGCCUAGUGGUUAGAGGCAGGUAGCCUAGUGGUUAGAGGCAGGUAGCCUAGUGGUUAGAGGCAGGGAGCCUAGUGGUUAGAGGCAGGUAGCCUAGUGGUUAGAGGCAGGUAGCCUAGUGGUUAGAGGCAGGUAGCCUAGUGGUUAGAGGCAGGUAGCCUAGUGGUUAGAGGCAGGUAGCCUAGUGGUUAGAGGCAGGUAGCCUAGUGGUUAGAGGCAGGUAGCCUAGUGGUUAGAGGCAGGUAGCCUAGUGGUUAGAGGCAGGUAGCCUAGUGGUUAGAGGCAGGUAGCCUAGUGGUUAGAGGCAGGGAGCCUAGUGGUUAGAGGCAGGUAGCCUAGUGGUUAGAGACAGGUAACCUAGUGGUUAGAGGCAGGUAGCCUAGUGGUUAGAGGCAGGUAGACUAGUGGUUAGAGCAGGUAGCCUAG